CCUCGUUCUUUUCUCUCCCAGAUUCAACGAGCAGCUCCAGCUCCCCUCUUUCCUAUUCUCCAGUCCUAGGGCUUGAAUUCUUUGUCGAUCGAUCUAUCUUUCAUCCAUCUCUCUCUAUCUCUCGAUUAUUAUGGAGAAUUCGCCCUACGAGAAGCUGGACGGCCUGGCCAGGUGGUUCGGGAUGAGCGUGGCUUCCGCAUUCUUCGCGUCGCUUGAACGAUGCUCCUGCGUUAACCUCAAUACCUCUGAGUCCGACGACGAGGACGAAGAAGAGGCUAAGGACCGCCCUCUCAUGUUCACCAAUCUCCGGUCCUUCGGCGCCGACUCGUCCGUCUCGCCGUCCACCGUCAAUCAUACUAGUAACCAGCCUCCCUCCGUCGAUACCCUCCCUGUCUGAUCAAUUUUGUAAUUGAUCUAUCAAUUCAAGACUGAUGGACUUGGAAAACGGAAGGCUGGAUUUCUUAGGUGAAGAAUCAAUAGGUUUCUUGUUUUGAUUAAGAGGAUGAGCUUAGAAGGUGAAUUAGGUAUCCAAAUUCUGAAUAAAUGUUUCUAUUGUUUCGAUCCUGCCAUAUACCUUUUGACAAUGGUAUUCAAGCAGGCUAUACAGAGAAAGUAGUUCUUUUUGUCCACAAAAAUAACGGAUUUUGUGGCUGUUGGUGAUUUUGCACGGUUAAUAUGGGAACUAGUCCGGUAUGUCAAACAAGAACCUUGUGCAGCCUCUUUGAAUUUUAUUGUGUUUUUUGAAUUUUUCCAAUAUUAUCUGUUGCCUAUAGGUAUCCUUUUGCGCAAAAUGUAAUCAGUAGUGUUUUUAAUGAAUCCUGGGUCAAUUUGGAUGCUCGA